rnacentral:rRNA from 1 species
AUACGAAGGGGGCUAGCGCUGUUCGGAUUUACUGGGCGUAAAGCGCACGUAGGCAGAUUGAUUAGUUAGGGGUGAAAUCCCGAGGCUCAACCUCGGAACUGCCUUUAAUACUGUCAAUCUCGAGACCGGAAGAGGUGAGUGGAACUCCUAGUGUAGAGGUGGAAUUCGUAGAUAUUAGGAAGAACACCAGUGGCGAAGGCGGCUCACUGGUCCGGUACUGACGCUGAGGUGCGAAAGCGUGGGGAGCGAACAGGAUUAGAAACCCUAGUAGUCC